AGCCUUCUAUAUCCGUGCUAAGAUUUCAUCACACACCAGACCAUAAGGGCUGAUGAGACUCACAAAACAAGUGAAGUG
rnacentral:pre_miRNA from 1 species